rnacentral:lncRNA from 1 species
CUUGAGUCAGCCUUGUGUGUCCUGUGUCAUCCUGGGGUGUCCUGUGUCAUCCUGGGAUGUCCUGUGUCAUCCUGGGGUGUCCUGUGUCAUCCUGGGAUGUCCUGUGUCAUGCUGGGGAUGUCUUGAGCCCUCUUGGGUUGUUCUGAGUCAUCCAAAGUGUGUCCUGUGUCAGUCUGGGGUGUCCAGUGUCUGCAUGGGUUGUUUGAUACAUCCUGGGAUGUCCUUUGUCAUCCUGGGGUGUCCUGUGUCCGACUAGGGUGUACUCAGUCACUCUGGGGUGUCCUGAGUAAGCCAGGGGUGUCCUUAGUCUUCCUGGUGUGUCCUGAGUCAUCCUGGUGUGUCCUGAAUCAGCCUGGGGUGUCCUGAGUCAGCCUGUGGUGUCUGAAGCAGUCUGGGGUGUCCUGUGUCAGCUUGGGGUGUCUGAAGCAGUCUGGGGAGUCCUGUGUCAUUCUGGGGUGUCCUGUGUCAGCCUGGGUUGUCUGAAUCAUGCUGGGGUGUCCUGAGCCACCCUGGUCUCUUCUGUGACAGCCUCAGGUGUUCUGUGUCAUCCUGGGGUGUCCUGCAUUCAGCCUCAUGUGUCCUGUGUCAGCCUGGGGCAUCCUGAGUCAUCCUGCGGUUUCUUGAGACAUCCUGGGGUGUCCUGAGUCAUCUCGGGGUGUCCUAUAUCUGGCUGCGGGGUCCUGAGUCAUUCUGGGGUGUCCUGCAUCAGCCUGGUUUGUCUUGAGAAAACCUAGCGUUUCCUGAUUCAGACUGGG